UGAAGCGGUCUGGAAAGGCCCGCCAAAGACGGUAACAGCCCGGUAGUUGAAAUAGCUUUCCCUCCAGAGUGGAUCCUGAGUACGGCGGAACACGUGAAAUUCCGUCGGAAUCCGGGAGGACCAUCUCCCAAGGCUAAAUACUCCCUAGUGACCGAUAGUGAACCAGUACCGUGAGGGAAAGGUGAAAAGCACCCCGGAAGGGGAGUGAAACAGUUCCUGAAACCGUGUGCCUACAAGUAGUUAGAGCCCGUUAAUGGGUGAUAGCGUGCCUUUUGUAGAAUGAACCGGCGAGUUACGAUUUGUUGCAAGGUUAAGCGGAAAAAGCGGAGCCGUAGCGAAAGCGAGUCUGAAUAGGGCGCAUAAGUAACAGGUCGUAGACCCGAAACCAGGUGAUCUACCCAUGUCCAGGAUGAAGGUAAGGUAAUACUUACUGGAGGUCCGAACCCACGCACGUUGAAAAGUGCGGGGAUGAGGUGUGGGUAGCGGAGAAAUUCCAAUCGAACUUGGAGAUAGCUGGUUCUCUCCGAAAUAGCUUUAGGGCUAGCCUCGAGGUAAAGAGUCAUGGAGGUAGAGCACUGUUUGGACUAGGGGCCCUUCUCGGGUUACCGAAUUCAGAUAAACUCCGAAUGCCAUGUACUUAUACUCGGGAGUCA
rnacentral:rRNA from 1 species